rnacentral:lncRNA from 1 species
UGCUAUCGAUAUGAAUAUGAACAUGUGAAAUAAGAUUCAUGAUUGACUCAAUGCAUGAUGAUUUGAAGUAUCUGUGGGUUUGGCCCUUUUCCUUACCUUAGGUAAUGGUGGAGAGGGUCAUUCUAUUGGGCCUUGGCUCAAGAGGAUGACCUGAUGGGCAAGUCUGGGUAAAAUGGACCUUUGUGCCAAAAUAUGUUAUUAGAAACCUAGUGGGUCCUAAAUGUGUGAUUAUUAUAAAUGGAAAUCAAUAAAGAGAGAGGAAAGAAUGAAAAAUCUGUUUAACCAUUACCUCUGCAGGGUUUUUGUAUCUAGAUCUGUAUAUGAAUAUGUUGGUGAAUCACUCUCUAUAAAUGAGACUAGUGUUCCCUCUAACAAGACUAAAUUCGCAAUAUGAUCUAUAAGGGCCACAGUGGUAAAGUACGGUCGUGGUCAUUGGUCUUAUUUGAUCUGUAGGGACAAUAGUGGUAAAGUAG